rnacentral:rRNA from 1 species
GGUUAAGCGACUAAGCGUACACGGUGGAUGCCCUGGCAGUCAGAGGCGAUGAAGGACGUGCUAAUCUGCGAAAAGCGUCGGUAAGGUGAUAUGAACCGUUAUAACCGGCGAUGUCCGAAUGGGGAAACCCAGUGUGUUCCGACACACUAUCAUUAACUGAAUCCAUAGGUUAAUGAGGCGAACCGGGGGAACUGAAACAUCUAAGUACCCCGAGGAAAAGAAAUCAACCGAGAUUCCCCCAGUAGCGGCGAGCGAACGGGGAGGAGCCCAGAGCCUGAAUCAGUGUGUGUGUUAGUGGAAGUGUCUGGAAAGGCGCGCGAUACAGGGUGACAGCCCCGUACACAAAAAUGCACAUGCUGUGAGCUCGAUGAGUAGGGCGGGACACGUGGUAUCCUGUCUGAAUAUGGGGGGACCAUCCUCCAAGGCUAAAUACUCCUGACUGACCGAUAGUGAACCAGUACCGUGAGGGAAAGGCGAAAAGAACCCCGGCGAGGGGAGUGAAAAAGAACCUGAAACCGUGUACGUACAAGCAGUGGGAGCCCUGAUUUAUCAGGGUGACUGCGUACCUUUUGUAUAAUGGGUCAGCGACUUAUAUUCUGUAGCAAGGUUAACCGAAUAGGGGAGCCGGAGGGAAACCGAGUCUUAACUGGGCGUUAAGUUGCAGGGUAUAGACCCGAAACCCGGUGAUCUAGCCAUGGGCAGGUUGAAGGUUGGGUAACACUAACUGGAGGACCGAACCGACUAAUGUUGAAAAAUUAGCGGAUGACUUGUGGCUGGGGGUGAAAGGCCAAUCAAACCGGGAGAUAGCUGGUUCUCCCCGAAAGCUAUUUAGGUAGCGCCUCGUGAAUUCAUCUCCGGGGGUAGAGCACUGUUUCGGCAAGGGGGUCAUCCCGACUUACCAACCCGAUGCAAACUGCGAAUACCGGAGAAUGUUAUCACGGGAGACACACGGCGGGUGCUAACGUCCGUCGUGAAGAGGGAAACAACCCAGACCGCCAGCUAAGGUCCCAAAGUCAUGGUUAAGUGGGAAACGAUGUGGGAAGGCCCAGACAGCCAGGAUGUUGGCUUAGAAGCAGCCAUCAUUUAAAGAAAGCGUAAUAGCUCACUGGUCGAGUCGGCCUGCGCGGAAGAUGUAACGGGGCUAAACCAUGCACCGAAGCUGCGGCAGCGACACUGUGUGUUGUUGGGUAGGGGAGCGUUCUGUAAGCCUGCGAAGGUGUGCUGUGAGGUAUGCUGGAGGUAUCAGAAGUGCGAAUGCUGACAUAAGUAACGAUAAAGCGGGUGAAAAGCCCGCUCGCCGGAAGACCAAGGGUUCCUGUCCAACGUUAAUCGGGGCAGGGUGAGUCGACCCCUAAGGCGAGGCCGAAAGGCGUAGUCGAUGGGAAACAGGUUAAUAUUCCUGUACUUGGUGUUACUGCGAAGGGGGGACGGAGAAGGCUAUGUUGGCCGGGCGACGGUUGUCCCGGUUUAAGCGUGUAGGCUGGUUUUCCAGGCAAAUCCGGAGAAUCAAGGCUGAGGCGUGAUGACGAGGCACUACGGUGCUGAAGCAACAAAUGCCCUGCUUCCAGGAAAAGCCUCUAAGCAUCAGGUAACAUCAAAUCGUACCCCAAACCGACACAGGUGGUCAGGUAGAGAAUACCAAGGCGCUUGAGAGAACUCGGGUGAAGGAACUAGGCAAAAUGGUGCCGUAACUUCGGGAGAAGGCACGCUGAUAUGUAGGUGAAGCGACUUGCUCGUGGAGCUGAAAUCAGUCGAAGAUACCAGCUGGCUGCAACUGUUUAUUAAAAACACAGCACUGUGCAAACACGAAAGUGGACGUAUACGGUGUGACGCCUGCCCGGUGCCGGAAGGUUAAUUGAUGGGGUCAGCGCAAGCGAAGCUCUUGAUCGAAGCCCCGGUAAACGGCGGCCGUAACUAUAACGGUCCUAAGGUAGCGAAAUUCCUUGUCGGGUAAGUUCCGACCUGCACGAAUGGCGUAAUGAUGGCCAGGCUGUCUCCACCCGAGACUCAGUGAAAUUGAACUCGCUGUGAAGAUGCAGUGUACCCGCGGCAAGACGGAAAGACCCCGUGAACCUUUACUAUAGCUUGACACUGAACACUGGUCCUUGAUGUGUAGGAUAGGUGGGAGGCUUUGAAGUGUGGACGCCAGUCUGCAUGGAGCCGUCCUUGAAAUACCACCCUUUAAUGGCUGGUGUUCUAACGUUGGCCCGUAAUCCGGGUUGCGGACAGUGUCUGGUGGGUAGUUUGACUGGGGCGGUCUCCUCCUAAAGAGUAACGGAGGAGCACGAAGGUUGGCUAAUCCUGGUCGGACAUCAGGAGGUUAGUGCAAUGGCAUAAGCCAGCUUGACUGCGAGCGUGACGGCGCGAGCAGGUGCGAAAGCAGGUCAUAGUGAUCCGGUGGUUCUGAAUGGAAGGGCCAUCGCUCAACGGAUAAAAGGUACUCCGGGGAUAACAGGCUGAUACCGCCCAAGAGUUCAUAUCGACGGCGGUGUUUGGCACCUCGAUGUCGGCUCAUCACAUCCUGGGGCUGAAGUAGGUCCCAAGGGUAUGGCUGUUCGCCAUUUAAAGUGGUACGCGAGCUGGGUUUAGAACGUCGUGAGACAGUUCGGUCCCUAUCUGCCGUGGGCGCUGGAGAACUGAGGGGGGCUGCUCCUAGUACGAGAGGACCGGAGUGGACGCAUCACUGGUGUUCGGGUUGUCAUGCCAAUGGCACUGCCCGGUAGCUAAAUGCGGAAGAGAUAAGUGCUGAAAGCAUCUAAGCACGAAACUUGCCCCGAGAUGAGUUCUCCCUGAGACUUAGAGUCUCCUGAAGGAACGUUGAAGACGACGACGUUGAUAGGCCGGGUGUGUAAGCGCAGCGAUGCGUUGAGCUAACCGGUACUAAUGAACCGUGAGGCUUAACCUU